ACCUGACACCUACUUCUGUGCUCUAGCCACUUGGCCAUACUCCAUCAUUUAUCUUCCCCCUUUUUUCUUAUCCACUUCAUUCCUUCUUAUCCCCCGCCAUCUAGAAGCAGUUCAGGAACUCACUACUGCUUAAGGAAGUCAAGAGGGUUUUUCUUAAGUUGCUGCACUAAUGUUUAACUUCCUUAAUUCAACCAAAUAGAUCAUUUUAAACCAUUUCUGCGGAAGAACUGAAGAAGAGUUGAAAAGAAUUUCAUGUUUCAAAUGAUGGGAUAAGUGCUCCCUCAUGCCUCCAGCACAGGAAGGAGAAGUACUCGCACAGGUCAGGGUGGGACCUGGCUCUGGAGGCUGCAGGUUGAGAGGUGGCUGCAGAGAGAAAGUUGGAUAUGUUAGAAGACGAGACUGAAAAGAUGAGAACCAGGCUGUGAAGCAGCCUAUUGCUGGCCAGAAUUUCAGUGGUAGCCAUGACAGAUGGUUACUUGGAAGAGGCCUGCAGAUAAAGGGACUAUGCAGACAGGUCUAAAGAAGAUGGAUGAAAAGACUGGACUCUGGCUGUGAGAUCUGCAGGCCAGUACAUGACGCCUUCAGGACAGGGUGGGCUGGAGUGACAUAUGCCUGGCACUAGUCCUGGGGGGUGCCCCUUUGUACUUCCGUUCUGGACUUACCUUCAGGGCUGGGUUAGGAAUUGUUGGUCCAUCUUUCCUUCUAGUUUAAAGUCAUUGUGCCAAGGUAACUGCAAUGUUUAUU